rnacentral:lncRNA from 1 species
AUAGUCCAUCAUGCAUAGAACUGGAUGUGGAAACUGGUGAACCUUUCAUGGCUCGGGCCAUUAUUGCAAAUUCUCAUGCUUAUGGUUAGUAAUUCUAAUGUUACUGUAUUUAAAUGCUAAAAUUUGAUUAGGUUUAAUUUUUUAAUAAAAUUGAGUCUAUAGUAGAAUCAUUUUAGCCGAACUUAAGACUAAGAACUAGAGAAGGAGAUUUGAAUGGCAAGCUUUGGUAUUUGCAAUGUAUUAUUAUCUAUAAUACAUGACUUGUUUUUUCAAGGUUUUUUAUUUGCUAACAUAUGUUUUCCAUAUUUAAAAUGUCCUUUCUGUUAUUAGGGCAUGCACAUGUUGUUGAAGCACUUGGUGUACCAUUGCACAACUUCUUCACAAUGCCUUGGACGUGAGUUUGUAUUAUCAUUUCUGUAAAUGUCUAUCUUAUCUAUGUUUUGUUAUCCAAGUUAUCAAACUUAUAUUUUACUUUCAAAACGAGAAAUAUUAUUUUGUGGAAAUAUAUUUUCCCAUUUAUUUUCGAGAAUGAGUGAUAAUGCACAUGUAUAAACACUGAUCAAACAGAGAAUUGAAUGUUUUUGAAAGUUUAUUUUUUACAAAAUGGUUUACGGAGAAAAAAAAUAUUAUUUGUAGAGUAGGACUAUAAGUAUUCUUUUAUCAAGACAUUUAUUUUAUCUCUAAUGGAGCUUUCUAUUUACUUGAAAGGAAGAAAGAAUAACAUACUCAGAUGAACAAGCCCACAUGUGAAUUUCCUCAUCUAAAUACGUGUACCCCAAAGUGCAUGAUACUUGGUAUGUUUCAAGUUGUUUGUAGAUGGUUUUCUUUUGCAUUUAGACAACUUCAAUUAGAUUUGAUAAACAAAUACAUUCCCUAAUAUUUCUUGCUUGGUACAAAUUUUAUACAUUCUUGUGGAUUUACUAAUAUGGUGGGGGCAUAAAUAAAUGCAUUAAUGACUCGAGGAAAAAGAAGCUGAAGCUUGAUCCUACUGCAUACUUGAGUACAUACUGUCAUACCAUGGGUCGGUAUGCUAAAGCAAAAUGGUAAGCAUGUCAUUUAGAGUUGCAUGACUAAUAUUUAUGGAGGCAAUAAUCUUUCAUUGCUGGGAUGCUAAAUUAUGAAGAAAUCUUGUUUCAAUCAACGUUUACCAUAUCUCAAUCUUAUCUAGGACUACUCCUUUCAACGAAUCUGUAGACUGGGGCCCUCUGGUUGAUAUUGCCGAUUAUUUUUAAAAACCAGCAACCAAAACUUCAACCUCCUAGAGAAUUUGCUGAAUGGAUGCAAAAGGGAUUUAGGCUCUUGAACUACGUUUGUAGGUGAAAUUUUUAAUUAUCAGUAGUAUUUUCACUUAGAGGCAGUUUUUAUAUAAAAGUGAACUUUUGUCUUGUAAGGAUUUUUUUUUUUUUUUUUUUACAUAUAAGUAAAUUUUCCAGUUAUGACAUUAUUGUUUUACUUAUAGUUGAAAAUUUAGUUGUAAGUCGAAAAUAGGGGAAGCUUUGGAUUUUCUGCAUUCAAGGGACAAUACAGAAGGUGGAAUAAUGGAUGGCUGUACGUUUACUCUUCUCCAAAGCAAGUGACCCAAUGCCCAUGGUGGACUCCAGUUUCACCCCAACACGUUUUCUCUACAGCCCAUUUCUAAUAACUAGCAUGAGAGCCUCUCCCUUAGAGGUACGAAUCGAUGAAUUAUACAAUUUUUGUGAUUUCUACAAAAAAAAAUAAUAAUAAUAAAAUAAAAAAAAUGUUUCAACUUUACACUCAAGAAUUAUGGAGAGAAUGGUUGAAUGUUAGAAAAUUUAAACUUUAUGAUAUCAUGCGUGUGAUUCUGAAAUGAAUAUAUCAAAAUAUGUAUAAUUGUAUGUUAUUUGCGGUAUAUAUAUUGGUCUUCAAGUAGAAAUGGUUAAAAGGUUAUCCUAGAGAAGGGGAAAAAUAAUAGAAUUCAAUGGAGGGACGGUCCAAUUUAAGAGAUGAUUUAAGUUUGCAUGAAGUCGAAAGUGUUGAAGAGGAUAUUGAGACUUCUUGCAGACUUGAUUUUCUGAUUGAGGAAUGGUCUUUUCAUACUAAUAAGGAAAAGCUAAGGGUCUUGUUUGAUGAAGCAUUUAUAGUUUUGUUAUGAGAAAAGUUUGCAAGCAGAUGCAUUAGGUUUAUUUCAACGUUGUGUGGUGAUAGAACAAUGGUGGACUUGUUUAAACUUUUGGAUAGUGAGGAAAAUAGGUGGAUCUACUGCCGUCUCAAGGAAAAAUGGGGUUUUGUAGCGAAGGAGUGUGAGUUGGGUUUUGGGGUCAUUCCAUCCAUCAAGUUAAAUUUACUUUAAGCACUUGAAUCAGUUGGAUCAAUGGUUGUGGCAAAUCUCUAAUGAUAGGGCCAUCGAGGAUGGACAGAGUAGAGUCUUACAAAAAUUGGAUUUAUUGUCUAGGAAGUUGGAGAUAAAGUUGAGAGGUUUUUCAUAAGAUGGGAGCGAGAAGCAAGAAAAAGACACCAAUAUUCCUCGAUUGGAGUAUUUUAAAAUGUGAAACAACAUCCACCAGUGAUUGGAAGAUUUAGAGAAAGAGUGGAUGAUCCAGAAUUCCGAGGAGAUAGGUGACAAAAAAUUCUCUUGUGACAAUGGUUUUCCUCUAGCCCAACAGGUCCCUGGAAAGUUUUGUAAAAUGCAUGAUGGUUCAGAUAGAAGUAUUGAUGAUGAAGAUAGGAGUUCUGUUUUCACAAUGAAUUUGCAAAAUCGGCCAAGAUGUUUGAUGAGAAUGCAAUUACUGAAGUACAUGGUUUUCCAAAUUGAAAAAUAGAUGACAUGGGAAGAUCUUGUGUUGUAGUCUGAGAUAAUGUAAUGGUAUCAGGAAAGAAAUUCAUUAACAAGUUACAUCAUCUUGCUGAAAAAAUUGCUGGUAAUAAAUAUGAAUGAUUUCCUGCUAAUGAGAACAAUGCUAGGAUAUUGGCUGUGAAUGUUGGUGAGAAAGUCAGUAUUAAAGUGCACAAUCUUUUGGAGAACUUCAUUGAUGAGAGAAAAUUUAAUGUCGAAAUUGAGAAUGAUGCUGUGAUGUCAGCCAAUUUUGGUUAAAAAAUAUAUAUAUUAUUGAUUAGAUCUGAAAAUGUUGUACAGUUUUUGUUUGAGACCAAAAUGCACAAUACAUGAGCUAUCACAAGAUGCUACAUCUUUGUCUUUCAUAAAUUUCUAUUAUCCUGUCUCUUAUCCAAUGUCGUUCCAUUAUUUUUCUAGAAAUUAUCGCUUAAUGAUAUUUUUGAUUCAAUUAUAUAUGGAAAAUGUUGAGUACAUAAAGCCCUUUUGUUUCCUUUUAUCAACUCAACUAUCUACUUACUGUGAUAAUGAAACAGCACUUUCAGCCAUUGGAUGUAGGUAUGCUAGCUAGGUCUUUCUGCAUGCCUCUUGUUUCUAUCCGCUUUGGGAAGAUCACCAAGCAAGGGAGCUUCUUAUGUCCAACACCCAUAAGGUAGUUUUCUUCAUAUUAUUACUCUACUAUUGCAUUUGGGAAAUGAAUUUUUUUCUCUGUUAUUGUAUUUACAAUUUUGUCAAGUAAUUUUUUUUCUAUCCUAAAAGUGAAUUUAUAUGUUGUGUGGGAUAGAUCCUUGUUGUUAGACUUACACUUCUGAGUACAAGAGAAGAAGGUGAAAUCAUGUAGGAGUAUAUGACAAGGAAGAGAAGGUUGGUAGAGCUUAUGAUUUAGCACCAUUGAAAUACUGGGGAUUUACUGCAACUACAAAUUUUCCUACGAGUUCUUCAGUGUGAAUGUUUGACCAUCUUGAUUUUUUCCCUCGUCGACAGAUUAUAUUUGUUGUUACACAAGAUGCUUUUAUUUACAUUCCCUUCUCUUAUAAAGAGCUACUAACGACAAAAUGUGUAGGAGUGUGUCUUACCUAUCAUUGAAAGACAAGCUCCAGAAGCAUCAGCCAACUCGUAUUAAGCUUUUUUUCUUCUAACAAAUUAUAUAAAGUUUUAUCAAGCUUUUUAUAUUUGGAAUUUUGAAAUAAAGUAUGUUCCAUAUACAUAUGUUUCAUAUGUUCAUCCUUAUUUGUUAAUAAUUCGAAAUGUUAAUAACAUAUUGAUUAGGAAAAUUUUAGGUAUAUGUUUUUCAUGUGGAGUGAAGAACAUUUUCCCGAUGAACUCAUCAUUCUUGAAAAUGCAUCAUGCAGGUCCAUCAUGGUGGUGCUCGAACCUCAGCUACUGGAAUGAAAGUUGGGUUAAUUUUCCUUGAUUUUUCCAUCUUAAACGCUCCUGUAAAAAUGAAUUUUUUUUUUUUUUUGCUUGUGUGCCACUGUCCAUCUGCACUUUUUUCUCAUUUAUUUUAGCAAACAUUUGAUUUAAAAAAACCACUUUUGAUGUAUAUGCCGGUCCUAUGAAUUUUGAAACCG